AUUGAACGCUGGCGGCAGGCCUAACACAUGCAAGUCGAGCGGAGCGGCGGACGGGUGAGUAAUGCCUAGGAAUCUGCCUGGUAGUGGGGGAUAACGUCCGGAAACGGGCGCUAAUACCGCAUACUAUCAGAUGAGCCUAGGUCGGAUUAGCUAGUUGGUGGGGUAAAGGCCUACCAAGGCGACGAUCCGUAACUAGUCUGAGAGGAUGAUCGGUAACACUGGAACAGAGACACGGUCCAGACUCCUACGGGUGGGAGCAGUGAGGAAUCUGGGACAAUGGGCGAAAGCCUGAUCCAGCCAUGCCGCGUGUGUGAAGAAGGUUUUGGAAUUGGAAACCACUUUUAGUUGAGAGGCGUUCCCUACCGAGUAAGCACCGGCUAACUUCGUGCAAGCCGCCGCGGUAAUAC
rnacentral:rRNA from 1 species